rnacentral:rRNA from 1 species
GAUGAACGCUAGCGGCAGGCUUAACACAUGCAAGUCGAGGGGUAUGCCGAUUUAUCGGCAGAGACCGGCGCACGGGUGCGUAACGCGUAUGCAAUCUGCCUUUCACAGAGGGAUAGCCCAGAGAAAUUUGGAUUAAUACCUCAUAGUAUAGUAAGUUGGCAUCAACCUGCUAUUAAAGUCACAACGGUGAAAGAUGAGCAUGCGUCCCAUUAGCUAGUUGGUAAGGUAACGGCUUACCAAGGCUACGAUGGGUAGGGGUCCUGAGAGGGAGAUCCCCCACACUGGUACUGAGACACGGACCAGACUCCUACGGGAGGCAGCAGUGAGGAAUAUUGGUCAAUGGGCGCAAGCCUGAACCAGCCAUGCCGCGUGCAGGAUGACGGUCCUAUGGAUUGUAAACUGCUUUUGUACGAGAAGAAACACUCCUACGUGUAGGGGCUUGACGGUAUCGUAAGAAUAAGGAUCGGCUAACUCCGUGCCAGCCGCCGCAGUAAAAC